AUCUUAAUGUUUUUUAAGGUUUAGCCACCAGUUGAGAGAAUAGUGUUUAAUAAUUUUUUCAAUUUUUUGGAACAUAGCAAUCCAAUUUCCAUCUCUUGGAUGGGCAGACAUUGGACAACUAGAUUUUCAAAAAUUGGGAAUAACAUAUACAACUUAUAUUUGCUUUUAGCUAUGCUAUCUUUUUUUUUUUUUUUCCUUCUUUUUUUAGGGCAUAUGGAGGUUCCCAGGCUAGGGGUCUAAUCAGAGCUACAGCUGCUGGCCUACACCACAGCAACAUGGGAUCCGAGCCACAUCUGUAACCUACACCACAGCUCAUGGCAACACUGGAUCCUUAACCCACUGAGUAAGGCCAGGGAUCAAACCCGCAACCUCAUGGUUCCUAAUUGGAUUGGUUCCCACUGCGCCAUGACAGGAACUUUCUGAUCUAGGCAUUACUGAUUACACAGAUAGGUUCACUUCGUGAAAAAUCACCAAUGAUUUGUGCACUUGUAUAUUUUUACCAAAACUUUACAUUAAAUAAUAAUGUUUUUCCACAGUUUAAAUAAUUAUGUGUAGUUUUAUAUAUAUCUAUAAAAUUACAUAUAGGUAUGUCAACAGUUAUAUAUAGAUUGUUUCUAAUUCAAAUGACCUUUGCUAAUUUAAAUGACCCAUACAUACUGCCACUUGUACCUGGUCAAAUCCUCUUCUCGCCAAAUCAUCAACUCAAAGUUACUUUUUUGGGAAAAAAAAGUGAAACUUUAAGGAAAAUUUUAGGUACAGAAGUGGGUUAGGAAAAAUAAAUAUGUAAAGAAAGUGAUUCUUGCAAGAAUCUUCCACUCAUCCCCUCCCCUGAUGCCCUCAUUUUGCCUCUAAGGGAGUAUUCCUACCCAAAAUGUUUCCAAAUUGUUUAUUUCUCCUUUCUUUUUUAUUGAGUUUAAAAUGCCAAAAUUUUACCAAAUAAUCAGUUUCUUUAAAAUACAGAUACAUUUCAGGGAUUCUCUUGUGCAAUGAGUUAAGGAUCCAGCAUUGUCACUGCAGCAGCCUGGGUUGCUGCCGUGGUGUGGGUUUGAUGACUGGCCUGGGAACUUCCACAUGGCAUGGGUGUGGCCAAAAAAAAAUAUGUUACAUUUCAAAAGAUUACAAAGAUAUUAAUCAUUGCAAGUUGUGAAUUUUGUGUGUAUUUUUUUUAAUUGAGGUAUGUAAGUUUCAGGUGUACAACAUAAUGAUGCACAGUUCUGUGUCUACUUUUAGGGUAUAAUGGUAAAGAAAUUGUUUCUAUGUAAAGAAGGAAAAUGAGUGAUUCCACUUUUUUUUUUUUAUUAUAGGUCAGUUUGCUAAAAAUAUUAGAUUUUGAAAUACGGCAUCUUGACUUAUCCCCAUUUCUUUCAAAAAAGUCUUCUUCGGUCUUCUCCACUGUGAUUCAGAUUUGAAUGAUUCUUAACUUUUCAUCGUUAAAUUCUGUGUACUUCUGGGAGUUCCCAUUGUGGUUCAGCAGGUUACAAAACCCAGGUAGUAUGCAUGAGGAUUUGGGUUCGAUCCCUGGCCUCACUCAUUGGGUUAAGGUUCUGGCAGUGCCAUGAGCUGUGAUGUAGGUUGCAGACGUGGCUCGGAUCCUGUGUUGCUGUGGUUCAGGCUUAGGGAACUUUGAUAUGCCGCAAGAGUGGCCCUGAAAAGAAAAAAAAAAAAA
ensembl:lncRNA